rnacentral:rRNA from 1 species
AACGAACGCUGGCGGCAGGCUUAACACAUGCAAGUCGAACGCAUUCUUCGGGGUGAGUGGCAGACGGGUGAGUAACCCGUGGGAACGUGCCCUUCAGUUCGGGAUAACCCAGGGAAACUUGGGCUAAUACCGGAUCCGUGCGAGAGCAGAAAGAUUUAUCGCUGAAGGAUCGGCCCGCGUCUGAUUAGCUAGUUGGCGGGGUAAUGGCCCACCAAGGCGACGAUCAGUAGCUGGUCUGAGAGGAUGAUCAGCCACAUUGGGACUGAGACACGGCACAAACUCCUACGGGAGGCAGCAGUGGGGAAUAUUGGACAAUGGGCGCAAUCCUGAUCCAGCCAUGCCGCGUGAGUGAUGAAGGCCUUAGGGUUGUAAAGCUCUUUCGUCCGAGACGAUAAUGACGGUACCGGAAGAAGAAGCCCCGGCUAACUUCGUGCCAGCCGCCGCAGUAAAAC